rnacentral:tRNA from 1 species
AUGUCUGUAGCGCAAUGAGUAGCGCGUUGGACUUCUAAUCCAAAAAUGGUGGGUUCGAAUCCCACCUGGGAUU